rnacentral:rRNA from 1 species
CCUACGGGAGGCAGCAGUGGGGAAUUUUGGACAAUGGGCGCAAGCCUGAUCCAGCAAUGCCGCGUGCAGGAUGAAGGCCUUCGAGUUGUAAACUGCUUUUGUACGGAACGAAAAAGCUCUCUCUAAUACAGGGGGUGAAUGACGGUACCGUAAGAAUAAGCACCGGCUAACUACGUGCCAGCAGCCGCGGUAAUACGUAGGGUGCAAGCGUUAAUCGGAAUUACUGGGCGUAAAGCGUGCGCAGGCGGUUAUGUAAGACAGAGGUGAAAUCCCCGGGCUCAACCUGGGAACUGCCUUUGUGACUGCAUAGCUGGAGUGCGGCAGAGGGGGAUGGAAUUCCGCGUGUAGCAGUGAAAUGCGUAGAUAUGCGGAGGAACACCGAUGGCGAAGGCAAUCCCCUGGGCCUGCACUGACGCUCAUGCACGAAAGCGUGGGGAGCAAACAGGAUUAGAUACCCUGGUAGUCCACGCCCUAAACGAUGUCAACUGGUUGUUGGGUCUUCACUGACUCAGUAACGAAGCUAACGCGUGAAGUUGACCGCCUGGGGAGUACGGCCGCAAGGUUAAAACUCAAAUGAAUUGACGG